GGUGGUCCAUGGUGCCUUCGUCGUUGUCGUCCUCGGCAGAAGAUGUGUGCAGAUCGAACGAAGAAGAGAAGAGGAAGGAUCUUGAGGAAGAGGAAAAAACAAGGCAAUGGGACUGUUGACCGGGU